CAUGGCCCUUACAGGCUGGGGCUACACACGUGCUACAAUGGCAUCUACAGUGGGCAGCUAUUCCGCAAGGAUGCGCUAAUCUCCAAAAGAUGUCUCAGUUCGGAUUGUCCUCUGCAACUCGAGGGCAUGAAGGCGGAAUCGCUAGUAAUCGCGGAUCAGCAUGCCGCGGUGAAUACGUUCCCAGGCCCUU
rnacentral:rRNA from 1 species